CAGCCGGGGGUGAUUAUGCCUCGGAGAGAACAUUUGACAACGUCUCAAGACAUCUUUGGUCAUCAUCACUGGAGGUAUUUAUUGAGCAACUACUAGAUGCCAAGUACAGUGUUGUGCUCUGAGAUACGAUCGUGAAUAGGGCUGGCCAGCUCCCCAUCCCAGCCUCACCCAGGAGCUUUCAGAAGGCUGAGGUGCUCUCAGGUCUGCACCCCCUCCAGCCUGGGGUGUCAGCAAUCCUGGAGAAGGGACACCUAAGCUGAAACCUCAAGGUUUCGCAUCUGCACAAGGCUGGCCUCCUGCAGGCAACCCUUCAAGGCUGCCCUUUCCUGGGUCAUCGUAUGUUCAGCGUGAGAGAUGCCAUUCCAAAGGUUCAGAGCCGUGUGGCCUGUGGACUUGGGGGUGGGGGACACACCCCCUCCUUCCCUCAACCUCCCUCCCACCGCCUGCUGCCAAGGGCCGCCAAGAGAAAUGUGGGCAAACCACACGGACCACCCCAGGCCUCCCAAGGGCACUUGGGGGUGAUGCCAGCCCCAGGAAGGAGUCCUCAAUAAAGAUCCAAGGUGCUAACAAGAAGAUGUCAAUCCAUUAACUCCACUUGAAGGGAAGAAAAAAAAUGUCAAUUACUGAUACCAAGCUCACCCCAGGACCUCUGUGCCUGCAGCUACUUGUGCCUGGAAUGCUUCCCUUCAUUUCCCU
rnacentral:lncRNA from 1 species